GAGUGCGAUUAUACCAGCGUUAAUGCACCAGAUCCCAUCAUAACACCGUAGUUAAGCACGCUUGGGCUAGAGUAGUACUGGGAUGGGUGACCUCACGGGAAGUCCUAGUGUUGCACCCU
rnacentral:rRNA from 1 species